rnacentral:lncRNA from 1 species
GGUUUGGUUUUGUUGUAUUCCAGGGCAAAUAAAAGCCUGUUUCUUCCCUGUUUCCUCAAAUAGAAUAUUUCCUAGUGAGAAGAUAACCACACUUACAGUGUUUACUUCUAUACACACAUGCAGUGUGUGGCGCUGUGUGUGUCAUUUAAGCCAAGGACAUUUAAUAGAAACUUCUAUUCUCACUUGCUCUUCUUCCUACGAAUGGAUGCGGUUUUAAUUGCAUUUCAUUUUCAACAAAACAAAACCCAUGGGGGUUGUGAGAAAAGAUCAGAAAGUACUUCUCUACAUAUAUGGUUCCUUAGCACCCUGGUCUACAGCUGGGAACACCCACCGUGUCCUCCAUCCACCUCAGCUGUUUAAGAAAAGAAAGAAAAAAAACAAAAAAGAGAACUGAAGAUGUUGCCUCACUGGCUCUCACACACACCUGACUGGGGCUCUAGCCAGGAGCUGUCUCCAGGUGCCCACAUCUUAGUGACACCUCCGGUCAGCACCAAUAACUGUCCUUAACCAGUCCAUAGACUGUUUCUUGAACAAUGUAGUUUUCACAUGCCUGCUGUAGUUUGACCACUGAGAGGGUGUUCCUAAGUCCACAUCUGAGACCACCUUGAGUCACUGUCUUAGGAACCAAGCUGAACAUAGCAAGGUUUUGGCACUGGGAGGGUCUGGUUUGCCAGAAAUAUGACCUCUCUGUCAUGUACAAAAAGAGCACUUGGAACCAGCCUCUACUAGGAAUUCAGAAACCAGAAUAGCACUUUCCUGGAAAGACAGAUUGCACAGGCCUUAACUG